CAACAUAAUGAUUCAAUAUUUGUAUAUGUUGCAAAAUGAUCACUAUAAUAAGUCUAGUUAACAUCCAUCACCAUACCAAACUCAACUGUUUUUGAUCAUAAAAGUGGAGAACAGCAGGGAACGGUGUCCUUUCCCUGGAGCCCAGUCGCACUCUGCAUCCGGCUACCCCAGCCCAAGCCCGCUCUCCUCAGAAUGCUGUUCACCUGAGCGCUUCCAGGAACGGUGUCUGUCUUUCCUCCAGGAAGCCUGUGAGACUCCAGCUCCAGGGGUGGAUCCUGAUUAGUUUAAAUGAAUCAUGGUCAUAUCAUUCUCCUGCCCAAUGACUGAUUUGGUCCCUAGGCCUUGGACAAUCAGCUAUUUUCACGGGUAAAGGGGUGGACAAGCAAACUAGGUUGAUCCAGUCAGACUGAAGGAAAGGCUUUAUUCCAUGGUUCAGGGGAAAGCUAUUCACUCUCUUCCACUGGAUGGGAACGAGAAAGCAUGCUUCCAUUGUUGCUGCUUGUGGUCUUCUUUCAACAGUGAAGGAAGGCAGCGUGAAGACAAAACCUUCACACAAAGGAGCGCCAAGCAAAGCAAGAGAACUGGAGAGAAAUGGUGCCAGAGCCCCAACUGCUCUUCACUCAGAAUCCUCAGGACCUCAGAAUUUCCUGCUAUAUGAGGAAGAGGUUGACCACAGGUGGGAAACACACCUGCAACAUAUCCAUCACAGCUGACAGAAGAAUGGAAUAAUGUGAUGCCUGGAGCCUAUCAUGCCUGGAGACCAGCAUCCCUGGACCCCCUCCUCAUUGCCCAUUUUCUCUGUAUAAUUGCCUCAAGUUUCUGUAAACCUGGAAGUUGGAUUUUUGAGACGUUAGUCACCCAUCUUCUGAUUAGCCAGCUAAUCUAAUUAAACUUCCUUUCUCAUCUCUAACUUGUGAUUAAUUGGCUCAGAUCUCGGUGAGCAGAGUGAGCCCAUUGCUUAGUAUCAAAUUCUGGCGACCCAGAGAGGACCAUAGCCUCUGCCCGUGGCUGGUUGACUUGGAGGAGGCUCUUUUGGGAUUUUUCCCUGCAUCUGCCAGGUGGCUUUUUCCGCCUGGGGAAUUUCCCUGUGGCUUCCUCGCUUGCCGACUGCCUCUAACGCUUCAGUGAUUGGGAAAGGAAGAACCGGAUCAACUAGAUCGUAAACUGAAGAGCUUACAUCUGCAGGCCAGCUAGAAAUGCAAGUGCUGCCGGAACAUCAUCUUCAUGGUUCCAGAUGGCCCUGCUAGGUGUUCAAACACCACUGCUGGACCCACUGCCAUUGGAUCUUCAAGGAGCCGACCUGAUUUGCUGGAUUGCCCGUGGGAAGAACCGGACUUGGAACUCUUCACAGUUGGCAGCAGCUUCACGGAUCAAGGUAAGAGACACGUGGGAUAUGCAGUCAUAACUUCACAAGAGACUUUAGAGGCUAAGGCUCUAUCCCCAGGGACAUUGGCUCAAAAUUCGGAAGUCAUUGCCCUUACUUGGGCUCUACAUCCAGCUCAAGGGAAAAAAGUAAAUAUAUACACACAUUCCUGUUAUGCCUUUGCUGUAGUUCAUGCUCAUGGGGCAAUCUGGAAAGAAAGAGGACUCUUAACAACAGGAAAAAAAGAAAUCAAACGUGGCCCUGAAAUUCUAGAACUGCUUGAUGCUAUUAAUGAGCCAGCUCAGAUAGCUAUCAUUCAUAGCUCUGGGCUACAGAGGGAGAAUCUAAUGGGUCCAGAAGUAUGUCAUAGGGCCCCAACUACAAAAGACUAUACAACAGGUGACUAAAAGUUGCAUAAUCUGUGCAAACAACAACCCCAAGACUGCUUCCGGUCCCCUACAUCUGUGCACCCAACAUAAAAAAAAUUUGGCCUAAUGAAGAUUGGCAAAUAGACUUUACCCAGAUGCCCUAUGCAGCUGGGAAUUUUAGGUUUCUGUUAGUGUUUAUGGACACUUUCAUUGGGCGGGUAGAAACCUUUUCCAUUCAGACUGAGAAAGCAUCAAAAGUCACUCGCAUGUUGCUAAAAAAAUCAUCCUAAAGUUUGGCCUGCCUAAUACCUUGCAGAGUGAUAAUGGACCAGCUUUUGUUUCCCAAAUAACCUAACAACUGUCCAAAAGCUUAGAUAUCCGAUGGAUACUACACUCAGCUUGGAGACUUCAAUCAACUGGAAAGAUGGAAAAAAUGAAUCACACCUUAAAGAAGACCAUUGCCAAAAUCUGUCAGGAAACACAACUAACUUGGGACAAGGCACUACCCCUUACCCUGCUAUGGGUUAGAGUAGAGUAUGAUGAGAGUGGACUUAAAUUGCGUCCUUUUGAAAUUCUAUAUGGGAGACACUUUCAGGCACCUUCCCUUGGGACUGAGUGUCUAGAUGUCUUCAGGAAUGUUAUGAUUGCUAAUUAUGUUAAAUCAUUAAGCUCUGUAUUAACUUCUGUCCAUGAGUUUGCUUCUCAUAGGUCUGCAUAUCUGUCUGAUGUCCCUCUAUAUGCCUUCCAGCCUGGUGAUCAUGUUUUGCUAAAAAUUUGGAAAGACCAGGGACCCAAAAACCAGUUGUCACCCAAACAGACAGGCCCUUCUGAGAUUCUUCUCACCGCUCACUCAUCGGUAGAACUUACAGGUGUAAAACCCUGGAUACAUCACUCCCAGAUCGGGGUGGCCCCCAAAUCCCAGGAAAGUAUCCCACAUGUAUCAAGGGGAAAAUGGGUGGUGGAACCCCUUGGGGAGCUAAAAUAGAUCUUUCACAGUUAACUCUUUUCCAUGCUAUGGUCCCCCUAUGACGUCCUGAUUUAGCAGGAAGUAGCCAGAGAA
rnacentral:lncRNA from 1 species